UUCUUUGAGGUGCAAGCAUACAGUGCUGUCU
rnacentral:piRNA from 1 species